rnacentral:rRNA from 1 species
GGAUUAGGCAUGCAAGUCGAGCGACGGACCCCAGCUUGCUGGGGGGACCGAGCGGCGAAAGGGUGAGUAAUGUAUAGACAACUUGCCCUCGAGACGGGGAUAGCGUCUGGAAACGGGCGGUAAUACCCGAUUAUGCUUUUGGUUCGCAUGUGCCGAUGGCUAAAGGGGGGGAUCCUUCGGGACCUCCCGCUCGGGGAGAGGUCUAUAUCCUAUCAGUGCUUGUUGGUGGGAUAACAGCCCACCAAGGCGAUGACGGGUAGCCGGACUGAGAGGUUGACCGGCCACACUGGGACUGAGACACUGCCCAGACUCCUACGGGAGGCUGCAGUCGAGAAUCAUUCGCAAUGGGCGCAAGCCUGACGAUGCGACGCCGCGUGGGGGAAGAAGGCCUUCGGGUCGUAAACUCCUGUCAUGGGUUAAGAAAGGCCGGUGGGAUAAUACCCCGUCGGUUUGACAAAGGCCCAAGAGGAAGCCACGGCUAACUUCGUGCCAGCAGCCGCGGUAAUACGAAGGUGGCAAGCGUUGUUCGGAAUCACUGGGCAUAAAGGGUGCGUAGGCGGUCCGGCAAGUCGGUGGUGAAAGCCCUCGGCUCAACCGAGGAAGUGCUUCCGAAACUGCCGGACUCGAGUGCAGGAGGGGAGAGUGGAACUCUUGGUGGAGCGGUGAAAUGCGUUGAUAUCAAGAGGAACGCCGGCGGCGAAAGCGACUCUCUGGACUGCUACUGACGCUGAGGCACGAAAGCCAGGGGAGCAAACGAGAUUAGAUACCCCGGUAGUCCUGGCUGUAAACGAUGGGCACUAAGUAGAGGGGUUUU